GUACGGGGGAGCAAGCGUUGUUCGGAUUUACUGGGCGUAAAGGGCGCGUAGGCGGCCACCGCAAGUCGACUGUGAAAUCUCCGGGCUUAACCCGGAAAGGUCAGCCGAUACUGCGGGGCUAGAGUGCAGAAGGGGCAACUGGAAUUCUCGGUGUAGCGGUGAAAUGCGUAGAUAAUCGAGAGGAACACCUGCGGCGAAGGCGGGUUGCUGGGCUGACACUGACGCUGAUGCGCGAAAGCGUGGGGAGCGAACAG
rnacentral:rRNA from 1 species